rnacentral:rRNA from 1 species
UACGUAGGGCGCAAGCGUUGUCCGGAAUUACUGGGCGUAAAGCGUGCGCAGGCGGCUAUGCAAGACAGAUGUGAAAUCCCCGGGCUCAACCUGGGAACUGCAUUUGUGACUGCAUGGCUAGAGUACGGUAGAGGGGGAUGGAAUUCCGCGUGUAGCAGUGAAAUGCGUAGAUAUGCGGAGGAACACCGAUGGCGAAGGCAAUCCCCUGGACCUGUACUGACGCUCAUGCACGAAAGCGUGGGGAGCAAACAGG